AGGAUGGCCGCCCCCUCACCUCAGCGCGGUCCUCCGCUUCCCGCGCAGCUCCCCUCAGCCCCUCCCUGACGGCUGCGCGCCGUCCCGCCGCCGCGGGCUGAGGGAAGGGGAGCGGCGAGGGGGCGGCGGGCAGCGCCUCAGGCAGCCCCGCUGGGAGCGCCAGGUACCAAAUACAUGCAUAAAAAGAUGCUUCUUCACUUGAUUGCUUUGCACGCCAUCAUCUAUAGAAGUCAAACAAAGGAUGGCUGGAAAUGCAAUAAUCCAUAGGCCCACAACUGGCUUCUGAAACAGUGAAAAUGCAGAUUACUUGUUCAGUUGUACAAGAAAUCUUGACAGAAUCCAAAAGCAUAUGUAGGUGCUGACACUGCUGAGAAAACAAAACAUGGAUGGACAUGGCUAACCACUGAAAAUGCCAGCGGAUGUCCAGUUCAUCAAGAUACACCUGUCUGGAUGUAUUCACUUGCACCGACUGCCUUCACCUCAGGUGGAGAAACUGAAGCACAGAGGAAAGAAACACAUGUGUGUUGGUGAAUGUCACAGCUUGACAACCAACAAGAUUAGAGGCCAUUUGGGAAAAGUUGCAAUGAUAAUCCAUCUUAACCACAGGCAGAACUGGACACAGAUUCCAUGACUGAAAAUCAACACAACUAGAGUUUCGACAAGGAAUCAUUUGAAUUGUGAAGGAAAGCCAGUAAAAAGAAGAGAAGAAAACCCAAAUCACAGUAUCUUGAUCAGAGGCAUGGAUGAAGGGAUUUAAGUCUUAUGUUAUUCUCCUCUUUCUUGGAAACCUAUGGAACCCUUUCAGGUGUGCAGAUUUAAUCUCUUCAGUUGAUUCUUUCAGUGAAUGAAACCAGGAAGGACUGUUGCAUAAGGAGGAUCAGAAGCCAGUGGCACGACAACCAUUCCUUGGUGCUAACCAAAGCCAGGACUCUGAUUCUAAAAG